CAUGCAAGUCGAACGGAAAGUGCCCAGCUUGCUGGGUGACUCGAGUGGCGAAGGGGUGAGUAACACGUGGGUGAUCUGCCCUGCACUUCGGGAUAAGCCUGGGAAACUGGGUCUAAUACCGAAUAUUUCCUGCUGGUCGCAUGGCCUGGUGGGGGAAAGCUUUUGCGGUGUGGGAUGGGCCCGCGGCCUAUCAGCUUGUUGGUGGGGUGAUGGCCUACCAAGGCGACGACGGGUAGCCGGCCUGAGAGGGUGUCCGGCCACACUGGGACUGAGAUACGGCCCAGACUCCUACGGGAGGCAGCAGUGGGGAAUAUUGCACAAUGGGCGCAAGCCUGAUGCAGCGACGCCGCGUGAGGGAUGACGGCCUUCGGGUUGUAAACCUCUUUCAAUAGGGACGAAGCGUGAGUGACGGUACCUAUAGAAGAAGCACCGGCCAACUGCGUGCCAGCAGCCGCGGUAAUACGUAGGGUGCGAGCGUUGUCCGGAAUUACUGGGCGUAAAGAGCUCGUAGGUGGUUUGUCGCGUUGUUCGUGAAAACUCACG
rnacentral:rRNA from 1 species